rnacentral:rRNA from 1 species
AGUGAACGCUGGCGGUAGGCCUAACACAUGCAAGUCGAACGGCAGCACAGUAAGAGCUUGCUCUUACGGGUGGCGAGUGGCGGACGGGUGAGGAAUACAUCGGAAUCUACUUUUUCGUGGGGGAUAACGUAGGGAAACUUACGCUAAUACCGCAUACGACCUACGGGUGAAAGCAGGGGAUCUUCGGACCUUGCGCGAUUGAAUGAGCCGAUGUCGGAUUAGCUAGUUGGCGGGGUAAAGGCCCACCAAGGCGACGAUCCGUAGCUGGUCUGAGAGGAUGAUCAGCCACACUGGAACUGAGACACGGUCCAGACUCCUACGGGAGGAAGCAGUGGGGAAUAUUGGGCAAUGGGCGAAAGCCUGAUCCAGCCAUACCGCGUGGGUGAAGAAGGCCUUCGGGUUGUAAAGCCCUUUUGUUGGGAAAGAAAAGCAGCAGGUUAAUACCCCGCUGUUCUGACGGUACCCAAAGAAUAAGCACCGGCUAACUUCGUG